rnacentral:misc_RNA from 1 species
GAUGAAGAACGCAGCAAAAUGCGAUAAGUAAUGUGAAUUGCAGAAUUCAGUGAAUCAUCGAAUCUUUGAACGCACAUUGCGCCCGCCAGUAUUCUGGCGGGCAUGCCUGUUCGAGCGUCAUUUCAACCCUCAAGCACAGCUUGGUGUUGGGCCUCCGUCCUCCUCCCGGGGGACGGGCCCGAAAGGCAGCGGCGGCACCGCGUCCGGUCCUCGAGCGUAUGGGGCUUCGUCACCCGCUCUUGUAGGCCCGGCCGGCGCUUGCCGACACAUCAAUCUUUUUUCCAGGUUGACCUCGGAUCAGGUAGGGAUACCCGCUGAACUUAAGCAUAUCAAUAAGCGGAGGA